CGGGAUAGCUCAGUUGGUAGAGCAGAGGACUGAAAAUCCUCGUGUCCACCAGUUCAAAUAAA
rnacentral:tRNA from 1 species